GGGGAUAUGGCGGAAUUGGUAGACGCUACGGACUUAAAAUCCGUCGAAUUUUGAAAUCGUGAGGGUUCGAGUCCCUCUAUUCCCA
rnacentral:tRNA from 1 species